rnacentral:misc_RNA from 1 species
CUGAAUUACUGAGAGGUUGUAGCUGUCUCUUCGGAGAAUGUGCACGCCGCUCAAAUUCAUCUUAACCUCCUGUGCACUGUUGUAGACUAUGAUAACUCUCAGCUACCUAGUAGUUGGAUUGAAGGACUUGCGCUUUCAGCUGUCUUUCAAUAUCGUAGCCUACGUUUUAUCUAUAUACAAAAAGUUUAGAAUGUCGUUCAUGGGUCUUGUACCUAUAAACUUUAUA